rnacentral:rRNA from 1 species
GAUGAACGCUGGCGGCGUGCCUAAUACAUGCAAGUCGAGCGAACGGACGAGAAGCUCGCUUCUCUGAUGUUAGCGGCGGACGGGUGAGUAACACGUGGAUAACCUACCUAUAAGACUGGGAUAACUUCGGGAAACCGGAGCUAAUACCGGAUAAUAUUUUGUACCGCAUGGUUCAAAAGUGAAAGACGGUCUUGCUGUCACUUAUAGAUGGUUCCGCGCUGCAUUGGCUAGUUGGUAAGGUAACGGCCUACCAAGGCAACGAUGCAUAGCCGACCUGAGGGGGUGAUCGGCCAAACUGGAACUGAGACACGGUCCAGACUCCUACGGGAGGCAGCAGUAGGGAAUCUUCCGCAAUGGGCGAAAGCCUGACGGAGCAACGCCGCGUGGGUGAUGGAAGUCUUCGGAUCGGAAAACUCUGUUAUUAGGGAAGAACAUGUGUGUAAGUAACUGUGCACAGCUUGACGGUACCUAAUCAGAAAGCCACGGCUAACUACGUG